GAUGAACGCUAGCGGCAGGCCUAAUACAUGCAAGUCGAACGGUGUCUUCGGACAUAGUGGCGCACGGGUGCGUAACACGUAUGCAACCUACCUUACAUUGGGGGAUAGCCUUUCGAAAGGGAGAUUAAUACCGCAUAAGACAGUAGCUGGGCAUCCAGCAGCUGUUAAAGAUUUAUCGAUGUAAGCUGGGCAUGCGUCCAAUUAGCUAGUUGGUGAGGUAACGGCUCACCAAGGCUAUGAUUGGUAGGGGAACUGAGAGGUCAAUCCCCCACACUGGCACUGAGAUACGGGCCAGACUCCUACGGGAGGCAGCAGUAGGGAAUAUUGGGCAAUGGACGCAAGUCUGACCCAGCCAUGCCGCGUGCAGGAUGAAGGCGUUAUGCGUUGUAAACUGCUUUAUACAGGAAGAAACGACUCUUGCGAGAGGCAUUGACGGUACUGUAUGAAUAAGCACCGGCUAACUCCGUGCCAG
rnacentral:rRNA from 1 species